ACAAAAGAAGGAACCCCUUGUGAUUGUUGAGUAGUCCAAAUAAGUUCUUCUCAGAUAAUAGCCAGAAGUAAUUUGCUGGUGGAUUUGAGUUUGAGAUCGUUCUUGAAUAUACCCUUUGAUACUAGAGAUGGUUGCUGAAUCUUGGUUUCGUAAUUUCUGGAAAAAUUCGAAAAAGCAUGAGGGUGGUGGUCAUCAAAAGGUGCUAGUUGGUGUUCUAGCAUUUGAAGUUGCAAG
rnacentral:misc_RNA from 1 species